ACUACGGGAGGCAGCAGUGAGGAAUAUUGGUCAAUGGGCGGAAGCCUGAACCAGCCAAGUAGCGUGCAGGAUGACGGCCCUACGGGUUGUAAACUGCUUUUAUACGGGAAUAACGCGCCUUACGUGUAGGGCUUUGCAUGUACCGUAUGAAUAAGGACCGGCUAAUUCCGUGCCAGCAGCCGCGGUAAUACGGAAGGUCCGGGCGUUAUCCGGAUUUAUUGGGUUUAAAGGGAGCGUAGGCCGCAUGUCAAGCGUGCUGUGAAAUGUCCGGGCUCAACCCGGGCCUUGCAGCGCGAACUGGCGUGCUUGAGUCCGCGGAAGGCAGGCGGAAUUCGUCGUGUAGCGGUGAAAUGCUUAGAUAUGACGAAGAACCCCGAUUGCGAAGGCAGCUUGCUGCAGCUGAACUGACGCUGAUGCUCGAAAGCGCGGGUAUCGAACAGGAUUAGAUACCCCAGUAGUC
rnacentral:rRNA from 1 species